CGGCCGGGCUAUGGAUGUUCGCCGAUUCUUCUAGGUGGCAGAGCACACACACAAAAAAAUAAAUGCGGCUGUGGCUGUGGCUGCGGCUAGCAGCUUGACAGGCUGCACGACCACUGGGCACCACCCAACACGUGCGAAGCCUAGUCAGGCCGCGCCGACGGGCUCUUUCUGUAAAAUGCACCUGAGCACCAAUGUUGGGUUCUGCCAGCGUCUGCUUCGUCGCUGUUUCAUGGAAUCUCCACCAUUUCCUCAAAAUGCACUGUACAGCCAAAGGACAUCAUGCAUACUCAAGGGCAAUAUUCCAAGUAUCAGAAGACGAUUGCAAGACUUCGAAGACAGCAGCUGAAGACCCCCAACACAAAGUGCUUAAUUGCAGCUGUUUAAUGACGGACACACUGGGUUACACAUUCGAGAUGAGGUGGUUGGUUUGUGCUCGAUUAUUUUUGCAGCCAUUUUAUUUCGGCACGCAACCAUCGACAUAAUUUUGCUACCCUAAUUCACCCUCUUUCGCAGAAGUACAAGAAAAAACGUCAUAUUCUUUUCCUCCUAAAACAAUCCCUUUUAUAGCAAAUUAAUUGCUGGCGUGUAUAUGCAGUCUUUAUUUCCAUUAUCUGGAUAGUUGCAACACGUCUUCUAUGUGUUUUGCUUGUGUAAAGUUAUUGCCAUCACGCCAUUAAUUUCCGACUAUUUCCAUUAUACCGGUGUCACAGGACCACUUUCGAUCGCGAUCAAGCCCGAUCCAGAUCGAAAUUUUCGACUGCUAUUGGCUCCAUCGCGCAGCUUGCACAAAAGAACCAAUCGCGGCCGAGAAAUUCAAAUCGGAUUGCGCAUUAUCGCAUUUAAAUGUGCGCUGUGUGACACCCAUAUUACUUGAAUUUCGCCAUUUCUUUCCCGUUUUCAUGUAUUUGCCUCUGACAAUCUUGCUGCAAUAAAUUGUUGCCUGCUA